AUUGAACGCUGGCGGCAUGCCUUACACAUGCAAGUCGAACGGUAACAGGUUAAGCUGACGAGUGGCGAACGGGUGAGUAAUGCAUCGGAACGUGCCCGGUCGUGGGGGAUAACACUUCGAAAGAAGUGCUAAUACCGCAUACGAUCUGAGGAUGAAAGCGGGGGACCGUAAGGCCUCGCGCGAUCGGAGCGGCCGAUGGCAGAUUAGGUAGUUGGUGGGGUAAAGGCCCACCAAGCCGACGAUCUGUAGCUGGUCUGAGAGGACGACCAGCCACACUGGGACUGAGACACGGCCCAGACUCCUACGGGAGGCAGCAGUGGGGAAUUUUGGACAAUGGGCGCAAGCCUGAUCCAGCAAUGCCGCGUGCAGGAAGAAGGCCUUCGGGUUGUAAACUGCUUUUGUACGGAGCGAAAAGGCUCCCUCUAAUACAGGGGGCUGAUGACGGUACCGUAAGAAUAAGCACCGGCUAACUACGUGCCAGCAGCCGCCGCAG
rnacentral:rRNA from 1 species